GCUUCUCCAAGGUCGUCACCAGCUGCCAGCCGCCAGCCCCUCUGGUGCGAUAAUUCAUCUGCCUAGCGCUUACUACGGUACACAUUUGCUGCUGAAAUUGUUUCAUUUAUUGAUAGUAUGAGGUAGUUGUCCAGUGGCGCUAUGUAAAACCGCUCUCUAGGAACCUGGUGUUGUCGUGUUUGCCUCAUAAUUGUACUUGUAAUGAACUGAUGUGUGCAUAGUCUAAUAAGCUUGAUUUUAGAGAGAGAAAGUCCUCAUAAUGGUCUCUGCAAUUGAUUCAUUUAUCUAGAGAAUGAAUGUGGAGUUGGUCGGUGGUUAUGUAAAACCUCUCUCUAGGAACCUUUUGUUGUUGUUGUUGCUGCUGUUGUGUUUUCCCCACAUGAUUGUACUUGUAAUGAACUUAUGUGGAUAGUCUACUAAGCUUGAUUUUAGAGAGAGAAAGUCCUCAUAAUGGUCGCUGAAAUUGAUUCAUUUAUCCAGAGAAUGAAUGUGGAGUUGUCCAGUGGUGCUAUGUAAAACCUCUCUCUAGGAACCUGUUAUUGCUGUUGUGUUUUCCCCAUGAUUGUACUUUUAAUGAACUUAUGUGUGGAUAGUCUACUAAGCUUGAUUUUAGAGAGAGAAAGUCGUCAUAAUGGUCGCUGCAAUUGAUUCAUUUAUUUAGAGAAUGAAUGUGGAGUUGGUCGGUGGUUAUGUAAAACCUCUCUCUAGGAACCUGUUGCUGUUGUUGUUGUUGCUGUUGUGUUUUCCCCAUGAUUGUACUUUGUAAUGAACUUAUGUGGAUAGUCUACUAAGCUUGAUUUUAGAGAGAGAAAGUCCUCAUAAUGGUCGCUGAAAUUGAUUCAUUUAUCCAGAGAAUGAAUGUGGAGUUGUCCAGUGGUGCUAAGUAAAACCUCUCACUAGGAGAUUAUUUGUUAUGAACUAAUAAGGUUAAUUUUUAGAGAGAGAAAGUCCUCAUAAUGGGCGCUGAUAUCAUUUCAUUUAUCGAUAGAAUGAAUGUCGGAGUCACCUGAUUGUGCUUGUAAUGAACUGAUAUGUGGAUAGUCUAAUAGGGUUGACUUUAGAGAGAGAAAGCCCUCAUAGUGAGCGCUGUUGACCGAAGUAGCAGCAGCUUAAAAGGCCGGUCCCAUUUUUUGUCCC
rnacentral:lncRNA from 1 species